rnacentral:rRNA from 1 species
UACGUAGGGUGCAAGCGUUGUCCGGAAUUAUUGGGCGUAAAGAGCUCGUAGGCGGUCUGUUGCGUCGGCUGUGAAAACUCGGGGCUCAACUCCGAGCUUGCAGUCGAUACGGGCAGGCUAGAGUUCGGCAGGGGAGACUGGAAUUCCUGGUGUAGCGGUGAAAUGCGCAGAUAUCAGGAGGAACACCGGUGGCGAAGGCGGGUCUCUGGGCCGAUACUGACGCUGAGGAGCGAAAGCGUGGGGAGCGAACAGG